rnacentral:rRNA from 1 species
UUGCACAAUGGGCGCAAGCCUGAUGCAGCGACGCCGCGUGAGGGAUGACGGCCUUCGGGUUGUAAACCUCUUUCAGUAGGGAAGAAGCGAAAGUGACGGUACCUGCAGAAGAAGCGCCGGCUAACUACGUGCCAGCAGCCGCGGUAAUACGUAGGGCGCAAGCGUUAUCCGGAAUUAUUGGGCGUAAAGAGCUCGUAGGCGGUUUGUCGCGUCUGCCGUGAAAGUCCGGGGCUCAACUCCGGAUCUGCGGUGGGUACGGGCAGACUAGAGUGAUGUAGGGGAGACUGGAAUUCCUGGUGUAGCGGUGAAAUGCGCAGAUAUCAGGAGGAACACCGAUGGCGAAGGCAGGUCUCUGGGCAUUAACUGACGCUGAGGAGCGAAAGCAUGGGGAGCGAACAGGAUU